rnacentral:miRNA from 1 species
UUAUUAGUGGCAUUGCUUCUGCUUCUCAACAUUUUUAAAAUGUUGAGAAGCAGAAGCAAUGCCACUAAUAA